rnacentral:rRNA from 1 species
GAUGAACGCUGGCGGCGUGCCUAAUACAUGCAAGUCGAGCGAACAGACGAGGAGCUUGCUCCUCUGACGUUAGCGGCGGACGGGUGAGUAACACGUGGAUAACCUACCUAUAAGACUGGGAUCACUUCGGGAAACCGGAGCUAAUACCCGAUAAGAUAUUGAACCGCAUGGUUCAAUAGUGAAAGACGGUUUUGCUGUCACUUAUAGAUGGAUCCGCGCCGCAUUAGCUAGUUGGUAAGGUAACGGCUUACCAAGGCAACGAUGCGUAGCCGACCUGAGAGGGUGAUCGGCCACACUGGAACUGAGACACGGUCCAGACUCCUACGGGAGGCAGCAGUAGGGAAUCUUCCGCAAUGGGCGAAAGCCUGACGGAGCAACGCCGCGUGAAUGAUGAAGGUCUUCGGAUCGUAAAACUCUGUUAUUAGGGAAGAACAAAUGUGUAAGUAACUAUGCACGUCUUGACGGUACCUAAUCAGAAAGCCACGGCUAACUACGUG